rnacentral:tRNA from 1 species
CGGAUGUAGCCAAGUGGAUCAAGGCAGUGGAUGU